rnacentral:rRNA from 1 species
AGGUAACUUGCUCUAUGGACCGGUACACCCUCGGGAAACUGAGGAUAAUCCCGGAUCGCUUAGGGAUACUGGAACGUUCCCUAAGUCAAAGGGGCGCAAGCUUCGCCUUGCGCUUGCCGUAGAAUAGGCCUGCGGCGGAUCAGGUUGUUGGCGAGGUAACGGCUCACCAAGCCUAUAAUCCGUACGGGUUGUGGGAGCAAUAGCCCGGAGAAGGGGACUGAGACAAGGCCCCUAGCCCUACGGGGUGCAGCAGUCGCGAAACCUCUGCAAUGCGGGAAACCGUGACAGGGGAAUUCUGAGUGGUUUUGCUUUUGCAGAACCUUUUCCCGAGUUUAAAACGCUCGGGGAAUAAGGACUGGGUAAGUCCCGUGCCAGCCGCCGCGGUAAUACGGGCAGUCCGAGUGGUGCUCACGAAUAUUGGGCUUAAAGCGCUCGUAGCCGGCUUGGCAAGUUCCUUGUGAAAUCUUGCGGCUUAACCGUGAGAAGUGCAAGGGGUACUACCAGGCUUGAGGGCGGGAGAGGCGAGAGGUACUCUCGGGGUAGCGGUAAAAUGCUAUAAUCCCGGGCGGACCACCGGUAGCGAAGGCGUCUCGCUGGAACGCGCCUGACGGUGAGGGGCGAAGGCUAGGGGAGCGACCCGGAUUAGAUACCCGGUUAGUCCUAGCUGUAAAUUAUGCAGACUAUGUGUCGCGCGACCCUCGAGGUCGCGCGGUGCCGAAGGGAAACCGUUAAGUCUGCCGCCUGGGGAGUAUGACCGCAAGGUUGAAACUUAA